GGGGAUUUAGCUCAUUGGCAUAAGUGCCUGCCUGGCAAGCACGAGGUUGUAGGUUCAAUCCCCA
rnacentral:tRNA from 1 species